ACCGAGACUUAGAGUCACAUCUAGGCAUUGCCUGUUGUCGUGGUGUGCUAAAGUCCUCGAAAAGUAACAGCUAACUCUAUUCACUGGCUGGUCAUCUUGUGAUCCACUCAGUCACCGGGUUAGGAAUAAAA
ensembl:snoRNA